rnacentral:misc_RNA from 1 species
AAUUUAGUAAAAUUACUAAUAUACUCCUAAAAAAUCCAGAAAUUCCAAGAGGCCUAGUGCCCCCUUGGCUCUAGUGUGGCUCCGCCUAUGUCUCUGUUACUACUCUCCAAACCCCGGCAAAAUGCAAUCUCUGGAAAAUCAAAAGGAACAUAUGCUGAGCAAUAGCUACAUUGUUCCUCUACCCCAUAUUCAUUGGAUGAAAAGCUGUUUUGAGUAAAAUAUAGAGGCGCAAUAUCAUAAAUAUUACAAAUUUCAAACAUAUGAAAAGCAACAAAAAUAUUGCAGAAAAUUCAGUCAUUAUCAAAUAGCCAACCAAAGUGAUGAGAAUCAAGCUACAUCCAC